GACGAACGCUGGCGGCGCGCCUAACACAUGCAAGUCGAACGGAGCUGAGAGAAGCUUGCUUUUCUUAGCUUAGUGGCGAACGGGUGAGUAACGCGUGAGUAACCUGCCCUGGAGUGGGGGACAACAGUUGGAAACGACUGCAAUACCGCAUAAGCCCACGAUCCGGCAUCGGAUUGAGGGAAAAGGAUUUAUUCGCUUCAGGAUGGACUCGCGUCCAAUUAGCUAGUUGGUGAGGUAACGGCCCACCAAGGCGACGAUUGGUAGCCGGACUGAGAGGUUGAACGGCCACAUUGGGACUGAGACACGGCCCAGACUCCUACGGGAGGCAGCAGUGGGGGAUAUUGCACAAUGGGGGAAACCCUGAUGCAGCGACGCCGCGUGGAGGAAGAAGGUUUUCGGAUUGUAAACUCCUGUCGUUAGGGACGAUAAUGACGGUACCUAACAAGAAAGCACCGGCUAACUACGUG
rnacentral:rRNA from 1 species